rnacentral:lncRNA from 1 species
CUGCAAUGACAUCAUAAUCCAUUUCCUGGAACCCCCGAAUCCCUGAUGUCACACACACACAAACUUUAUUGCAGCCUGAGCUGGUAAAGGGAAGAUCAAAGAAGAUCUCAUAGAAGAGGUAGCAUCUGAGAUAUGCCUUAAAGAAUGAUAAGGGUUAUGAGAGGUAAGUAGAGAAUAUCCCAUGUAAAAAUGGACUGCUAAAUUGGAGGAACAACUCCUUUUUCAACUGAAAUGUAAA